CGGCGGCGGUGGCGGCGGCGGCGAGCGGAUCCCGCAGGGGAAGGAGGAGGAGGAGGAGGAGGGAGAGUCAAGGGGGCUGUGAGUGAGCGGGAGAAGCAGGGUGUGAGCCGGGCUAGCCCGCGGGAGGGAGAACGAGCGAGAGCCGAGCCAGCCAUCCGAGCCGCCGCCUCCUCCUCCUCCCCUCGGCGUCCCGCCCCCGCCUGCCCGCCCGCCCUCCUCCCUACUCAGCCCGCAGAGCCGGAGUGAGGCGCAGCUAGGCUCGCGCCGCUGUCCAGGACAGGUGUGCGCGCGCGCGCCCUCCUCCCCUCCCCCCUUCCUCGCGCCCGCCGCGCGCGCGCGCGCGCCCUCCCUCCCUCUCUCCAGCCUGCGCCCUCCCUCACCUGCGGCAGGACAGCGCCCGCCCCGGUUCAAGAUGGCACUGCUCACAGCACCUGACACAUGCAUGUGCAAGGAAUGGAUGAACUGGAGCAUCUGCCAGGGUCCCAUGUCCCAGGAGGCUGAGGGGCAGAACGAGGGUGUCUCCAGCAGGGACUGCAGCAGAGAUGGAUCUGACUUCUAACCACUGGGUUAUUGAUGGAGAUGGCCAGGGAGACAAUGAACUGGAGAGCAAGUUCUGUGCAAAGGUGUCAGCUCAACCCUCACAACAGCUCUCUGUGGCCGGACCUACUGUUAUUCCCAUUUCACUGACAAGAAACUGAGUCUUAAAAGCAUUCGGUAAACUGUGCUGUGUCCCAAGGUGAGGACAUAGGAGACCGGGGCUAGAGCACACAUCUCUGCACACUGAUAACCAUCCCAUUGCCCUGCCUCACCCAGAGUGGGAGAAGUCACUGCAUAAUUAUAAAUGAUCUUCCAAAGUGGGUACAAACUUUCUUUACCCCCUCCCUUCCAAAAGGCAUAAUGAGUCUUUCUUAUGUGUCUUCCAAAUAGGAGAUUCCCAGGAUCCAGAGGAGCUGGAAAUUAGAGCCGCAUGGUACAAAUUCACUUUCAGGGACCUAGCCAGUAGUACUUGCCUGGGUCUUCUAAGAAUCUCACAGCAGUGCCACAUGCCUCGGCUUUAUCUAAGCAACAGAAGGUGGUGGUGGUGGCGGCGGUGGCGGCAGCAGCAGCAACAGCAAAUCUGUCCCUGGUGCACUAGAGUGCUGUUUUGCUCUAAUGAAACACACAUGGCAUAUGGUUGCAAAGUUACUAUCUUGAGAGCAGAUAGAAAUGGGAUUUUUUUCCCUGUGCCAGAUUUCACUUCCUUUCCUGAAACAAUUCUUAUAGUAAACAGAGGUUUUCUGAUCUUGCUAAGAUCCGAAGAUGGGAAUUCCUUUACACUCUUUAAGAAUAUUGUCUUAGAGCAUUUUGGUCUGUUGAUGGUGCAGAUCUUUGUUGUUGUUUUGGUUUGGUUUGUUUUAAACAUGGAAGCCUUCCUGUGCUCUUUCCCUCUCCCCACAAAGGCCAGGGCAGGAAGAAGGCUGCCACUGCCUGGUGAUCAACUCCAUUCCAGUUACAGACCACCCUAAUGAUGAGACCUCCAUAUGUGUGGCCCUGUGGAUGCUAUCCCUUGGCAAAUGGGCUGGGGAAAGGAAAGGUUGCUGAGUGUAGGAGGCCACUGGGCGGAGGCGGUAAGGAAGGACUGGGAAGCGAGUAGAAUGUGACUUUCAGGAGGAGAUUUAUUUUGAACCAAGUCUUAUGUGCUGACAGCAUAAUGAUCAUUAUUAGGGCCUCAGAUAUAACAUGAAGCCCGCCCUGAAGUUAAAUUUUUCCUUUCAGAUAAGCAUGGCCUGUCAGCCCAGUGUAAGACGGUUCUAUGCCAGCCUCCUCCACGACAGGGAGCUGGAAUGCUCCGGCUGCUCCCUCCCUGGUACCUUUCAUUAAGGCCUUGGCUUUUUUAGUAAAUAUUGCUCUAUUUUUCUACUUUAGUCUUUUAAAAUCAACCUGAGAAUCACUUUGUAGAAGCAGUACAGAUGUAUUUGUAGUUCUUUACCCAUAUGUAGUUUCAGGGGUGGGUCUGUAAUCCUACCUCCCCAGGGACCUUCCUGGGCACAGUGAGACCCCUAACAGAGGGAGACAUCUGUGCCCUGUGCCCUGAGUUGCCCUGAAUUAUGCCCAGAGGAUUGUUUCAUAUUCACAGUGAUUUGUAAAUUGGUUUUUGCAUCAAAAUCCUGUUUUCUGGCUUCUCUUAAAAGAAGAAGAAAAGAAAAGAAAAAAACCAAAAAGCUGGCCACAUUGAGCCAUGCACAUUCCUUUAAAAAAAGUGCCUGGUUCUGAGUAAUAGUCACUGUCUUUGCAACUAUGUUCUGGUUCAUCAUAGCACCCCCAAUACUCUCCAUCACUUCCCAUACACACCCUAAGAGCAAGUAUAAACUAAAACUAUGAGUCUGUGGGUUCCAGCCUUGGCCCACCACCUGCUUCCUAUGGCCCCCAAGCAUGUGUUCGCCUCUUUCUGAGGCCAGUUUGUAAUGCUUAGAAAGAAAAAUAUAAUGAGAUGAUGUAUGUAGAGCCUUUCCAGAGCCUGGAAGGGAGAAGCACUUGCUGAGUAUUGGCCAUGUGUGCUUAUUGGUGUAUGCUACCAUUUUUUGCUGACGACACAGAGGAGACUUGAAGACAGUCUGCAAAUGGACUCAUGUACUAGAAUCUAGGCUUCAUACCUGUAAAAAGUAAAUAUUUUCCUUAUCGUAUAUCCCUGAACCUUAGUAUAGUCCUUGGCACAUGCAUUCAGCAAAUAUUUAAUGAAUAUGUGGAUUUAAUAUUUCCCUGACUUUUUAUUCUUCUUAUAUCAUAUGCCAAAUGAUUAUUGGCCCAUUUUAUAAAUAUAAGUGCAAGUAGACUUUCAAGUUCGUUUGUUUU